UCCCCAGAGCUGCUCUUAGACCCGUGUUAGCCUCGGGCUUGGAACCAGGGAGUUCGUCUGGUUGGGAAGGAAGCCUAGAAACUAUGGAAACCACUACUGUUUCAAAACCAGGUGGAGUGUGCAAGGCCCUGUACUGAACAGGCACCUGGGAGGAACCGGACGGACAGGUUCGUGGGGGCGAGCAGGCUUCCAAGCCAAGGAUGGAGAGAUGGCAAGACAAUCCGGAGCUCAGUUCGGCUGCGUCCUCACUCCCGUGGAGGAGUCCCAUUUCAGGCGACCACUGCUCUUGCAGCUGUGACAAGGGCCAUCCCAGAGCUAAUCGUUCAGGCAUUAGUAAAAGAAAAACCACGAACACUUUGAUGUAAGUGACUGUGACUCUUCAAUCAAGCCAUCUCCAAAUGGCUAUAUUGUUUAAAAAGAAAAAAAAUUGAAAUUUCCCAUAAAAUCUGCU